rnacentral:rRNA from 1 species
GGGCCCGCACAAGCGGUGGAGCAUGUGGUUCAAUUCGACGCAACGCGAAGAACCUUACCUGGGCUCGAACGGGUAGUCAACGGCGGUGGAAACAUCGCUACCCCGCAAGGGGGUCUAUUCGAGGUGCUGCAUGGCUGUCGUCAGCUCGUGUCGUGAGAUGUUGGGUUAAGUCCCGCAACGAGCGCAACCCUUGUCCUGUGUUGCCAUCAUUCAGUUGGGAACUCGCAGGAGACCGCCAGCGAUAAGCUGGAGGAAGGUGGGGAUGACGUCAAGUCCUCAUGGCCUUUAUGUCCAGGGCUACACACGUGCUACAAUGGCCGGUACAAACCGCAGCAAACCCGCGAGGGGGAGCCAAUCGGAAAAAACCGGUCUCAGUUCGGAUUGCAGGCUGCAACUCGCCUGCAUGAAGCUGGAAUCGCUAGUAAUGGCAGAUCAGCACGCUGCCGUGAAUACGUUCCCGGGCCUU